GGAGAUGUAUCGAAGUGGUCAUAACGAGGCUGACUCGAAAUCAGUUAGCCAGUGAAAGCUGGCCCGUGGGUUCGAAUCCCACCAUCUCCG
rnacentral:tRNA from 1 species